UGCCAGUACCAUACUGUUUUGAUGACUAUAGUUUUUUUAGUAUUGUCUGCAGUAAAUACCUUAACUUGUAGGUUCUCUGUCAGAAAGCUAAAAAGUUACAAGAAGAUUUCAUUUUUAUCUUUUUAUUCUUUAUUUUGAUGUGGGAAAAAGUAUUCUUCCUCACUGGUAAACAAGAUAUGAUAACCCCUACAUUAUAAAGUAGAUCCCUGAAUUAAAUGAGAUGAUGUAUAAAUGACUAUUAAAUGCUAGACUUCCCAAGAAGCAUAUGAUUUCCUGCAUCAGUUUCUAAUGGCACCAAUUUACUAGGUGCUUGUAACAAGGAAUUUUACAAAAGUCGCUCAAUGAAAUCCUCACAUGACUUUCAUGUGGGAUUUUUAAUUUCCACAUUGCAGAUGAGAAAAUUGAGUUGUAGAGAUUUUAGAUCACUUCCCCAAAGCAGAAUUUAGGAUUAAAUGCAGAAUUUAAUAUUAAAUGUAACUUCAUAACACAUCUUUUCCACUGUGCUCACUUGCCUCUCCAUAUACUGAAAAAAAUAAUAUAUGUGUCUACUGUUUGCUUACAUUCACACAUAAAAUAUAAGUAAGAAAGAGUAUACUAAGAGUAAACACACUACUCUGGGUGCUUUGAUGUCUGGCUUCUUAACUGAUAAUACAACAACAAACUAUCUGUACUUCCUGAACUAAAUUACUGGGCAGCUAAUUUCAUAACUGAGAUAUCAUGAUGAGUAAUUGAAAAGUCUAGUCCAAUUUCUGCAUCAGAAAUCACAUUAUCAUAGACUUGUUGAAGAGGGGAACAAUCUCCAUUUUCUUCCUUUUCCAAAUCACCUACAAAUAGGUCAGGAGAAACCUCUUUGUCCUAGAACCCUAGAAUUUGUGUGUGUGUUUAUGUGUGUGUAUCGAUUUUUUUCUCCAUUUAGUUUUUCUACAGGAUCAACUACAUAUAUUAAGAAACCUAAUACAAGUAAAACAAAACAGUGACUUCAAUCCCUAUGGGCUGUUGUCUUGAAGUCAUGGCAAAGCUCUGAUGUAAACACCCUUGUACCUUGGGUAUCCUGGGGAUGGAGGCUCUGCUCACCUGUGGACAGGUGCUCAUACCGUGGACAGGUGCUCAGACCAUGGAUUGCCCUGUGAAUCAAGUGGGCCCUGAGGAGAGAGUGAGCUUAAAGACCUGAGGACAAAGGUGCUUCUAGGGUGAGAUCAGGAUUAACCGUGAGAGUGACUGCGUAUAUCUGUGAGAGCUGCAUCCAGGCUUUGGUCCAAGGAGAGAUAACAGAAUCUGCUCUACUUCGGUUUAGAAAUGACAGUGACAGAAUGGUGACUUCAAGAUAAGAAGGGAAGCAACAUAUUGAUUUUACAUUUUACAGAAGAUCUCUUUUCCAUUCCAGAUGGCAUUCUUUCACAGGCCCUGGCACACUGGAUCCAAAUUCUGUGCACCUCAGCCUGAGAAGGGUCUGCAGAAUGUUACCCACCAUGUUUCUGGAGUUUUUAUGAAAUCAAUUGUAUAAGAAUGAAGUGUAACAUAAAACUAGAUUCUUAGUGAACAAAAUGAGAGAUGAGAAUUCUGCUGAAACUGAGCUUUGAAAAGAGAUGUAUGUGGAACUCAGUCCAUCCUUUGAACAUGCCAUGAAGCUUAGUAGUCUCCUGAAAUCUACACUUUAUCUCAUGAUUACAUGAGCCAAAUUUCUCACCUGAAAAUUUGAGAGAAAAUUUGCGUUACCCUUAUGUUAAAGUAGAUCUUAAUGAUUUUUCAGGAAAGAAAUUCUUUUGAUAAUUUGAAUUUCAGUUAAAGUUUAAGCCUAUUGAGAUGAAUUGAUCACAGAGUGGCAUAGAACUUUUGAUUUGAUCUAGGUUGCUUAAUUUGUAUACAAAUACAACAUCUGUUUGUCCAUUCAAACUAUGUCUAUAUUCUUUAAGAACAGGCACUCCAAUGUCCUUAUAGGCUGGAAGGAAAUAUCAGUAACUAGAAAUGAUAGUUCCUUAUGAGCAUUCUACAAAUUUGGAGGGUAAGAGGACUCAAAAUUACAAGCAGAAGUAUGAAUUUUCUGUAUCUAAAGACAAAACUCUCCUUUAUACAGCAGAGUAUAUUUUUUCCCAGAAGGCUGAAAAUAUUUUUGGCUAUUUAGAUAUAAAUAAAUUCUAUUCAUAGAGAUUUCAUUCUGGCUUAUGUAUUGAAACAGAUAUAAUUCAAAGAGAUUGUUCCAUCCCAUCUCUUCCCCAACAAGUUUCUAUUUUAUCCUCUCUGUAGCUUUCAAGUUAUGAAAUUUCAAUCCCCUAGAAUCGCUUUAGGCCUCGUGGCUGUUUUUUCAACCUUAUAACCAGCACAGAGUGCCUGGCACAUAAUUAUUGCUCAACAAAUAAUGGAUGAAAUCAAUGAGUUAGAAAAGACUCUUUCCUCUACUCAUGUACCAGAAGUAGAGGUAUUGACUUACUUUCCCCUGAAAAUGUCCCAGAAAAUAGAAUUUAAAAUGUUUAACAAUUGGUCUAAUAUAUAUGGGUCUGCUAGUAAGCUGCCAGGUAGGGACAACAUACAUGAUUUUCUUACAUGUAUGAUGUACAUUUCUUACAUUUUCCAUUUUAUGUGUAGUUAAAAACUGUGACA